GCGUCUGUAGCCUAGUUGGUAAAGGCAGAACUCUAGUAUUGCUGAGGUUGUGAGUUUGAAUCUCACCAGACACA
rnacentral:tRNA from 1 species